rnacentral:rRNA from 1 species
CCCUUAGAUGUUCUGGGCCGCACGCGUGCUACACUGAGUGGAUCAGCGGGUCAGGUUGCGCGAAAGCGUUUCCUAAUCUUUAAAUCCGCUCGUGAUGGGGAUUGACGGUUGCAAUUUUCUGUCAUGAACGAGGAAUACCUUGUAAGCGCGGGUCAUCAUCCCGCGCUGAAUACGUCUCUGCCCUUUGUACACACCGCCCGUCGCUACUACUGAUUGAACUGGUUUUUGAAGUGUAGAGAUUGGCAGGCAUGUUUACGUGCAUUGCAAAGAACCACUCUGAAAAAAUCGUUCGAGAAGAAGUAAAAGUCGUAACA